rnacentral:lncRNA from 1 species
GGCGCUCAACUAUUAUAACUAAACAAGAGCUAGAGAUAGUAAUAUAGACUAGUUAAUUGAGAAAGAAGCAAAACACUAAUCUUAUAAUUCUAGGAGAAAUUUUUCUAUCACUCUUUCAUCAUGAAUCAAUUUUUCAAAAACUCAAGAUUGGUUCUUGGGAUUUUCAAUUCCAUUAAAAUCCAACCAUAAAAUAGAAAAUUAACUAGGCAAUUUUGCAAUAUGUCUGAAACUUGAAAAUCAAUGGAGGGUUUUGUUAAACAUAGGAGAAAUUGACUGAGAGGAAGACAGCAUUAGAAAGGAAGGGUUCAUGUUUUGUUAAUAGGUG